GGCAGUGUAGCAUACAGUGAAAAGCCAUGGUCUCUGAAGCCACGUGGCCUGGGUAUAAAUCCUAGCUCUGCCA
rnacentral:tRNA from 1 species